AUUGAACGCUGGCGGCAGGCCUAACACAUGCAAGUCGAGCGCGAAAGUCUUCGGAUGAGUAAAGCGGCGGACGGGUGAGUAAUGCAUGGGAAUCUGCCUGGUAGUGGGGGACAACGUUUCGAAGGAGACGCUAAUACCGCAUACGCCCUACGGGGGAAAGGGGGGGAUCUUCGGACCUCUCGCUAUCAGAUGAGCCCAUGUCAGAUUAGCUAGUUGGUAGGGUAAAGGCCUACCAAGGCGACGAUCUGUAACUGGUCUGAGAGGAUGAUCAGUCACACUGGAACUGAGACACGGUCCAGACUCCUACGGGAGGCAGCAGUGGGGAAUAUUGGACAAUGGGGGAAACCCUGAUCCAGCCAUGCCGCGUGUGUGAAGAAGGCCCUAGGGUUGUAAAGCACUUUCAGUGGGGAGAAAGGUUAUUCACCUAAUACGUGAGUAAAUUGAUGCUACCCACAGAAGAAGCACCGGCUAACUCCGUGCCAGCAGCCGCCGUAA
rnacentral:rRNA from 1 species